rnacentral:rRNA from 1 species
AGAGUUUGAUCAUGGCUCAGAUUGAACGCUGGCGGCAUGCUUUACACAUGCAAGUCGAACGGCAGCACGGGGGCAACCCUGGUGGCGAGUGGCGAACGGGUGAGUAAUGCAUCGGAACGUAUCCUUAAGUGGGGGAUAACGCACCGAAAGGUGUGCUAAUACCGCAUAAUCUCUGAGGAGAAAAGCAGGGGAUCGCAAGACCUUGCGCUUUUGGAGCGGCCGAUGUCUGAUUAGCUAGUUGGUGAGGUAAAGGCUUACCAAGGCGUCGAUCAGUAGCUGGUCUGAGAGGACGACCAGCCACACUGGGACUGAGACACGGCCCAGACUCCUACGGGAGGCGGCAGUGGGGAAUUUUGGACAAUGGGGGAAACCCUGAUCCAGCCAUGCCGCGUGAGUGAAGAAGGCCUUCGGGUUGUAAAGCUCUUUCAGCCGGAACGAAACGGUCACGGUUAAUACCCGUGACUACUGACGGUACCGGAAGAAGAAGCACCGGCUAACUACGUGCCAGCAGCCGCGGUAAUACGUAGGGUGCGAGCGUUAAUCGGAAUUACUGGGCGUAAAGCGUGCGCAGGCGGUUUUGUAAGUCAGAUGUGAAAUCCCCGGGCUUAACCUGGGAACUGCGUUUGAAACUACAAGGCUAGAGUGUGGCAGAGGGGGGUGGAAUUCCACGUGUAGCAGUGAAAUGCGUAGAGAUGUGGAG